rnacentral:rRNA from 1 species
GACGAACGCUGGCGGCGUGCUUAACACAUGCAAGUCGAACGGAAAGGCCCUUCUUUUGUGGGGUGCUCGAGUGGCGAACGGGUGAGUAACACGUGAGUAACCUGCCCUUGACUUUGGGAUAACUUCAGGAAAGUUGGGCUAAUACCGGAUAUGAGCUCCUGCUGCAUGGUGGGGGUUGGCAAGUUUCGGCGGAUGGGGAUGGACUCGCGGCUUAUCAGCUUGUGGGUGGGGUAGUGGCUUACCAAGGCUUUGAAGGGUAGCCGGCCCGGGAGGGGGGCCAGGCACCAUGGGACUGCGGGACGGACCAGUAGUCUACGUGGGGCAGCAGGGGGGAACAUUGCCCAAUGGGCCGGAGUCCUGUGUAGCAACCCCGGGGUUGGGAAGACCGCCUUUGGGGUUGAAACCGCUUUCGCCUAUUACCGAGGGGUAAUGACGGUAAUGGGUAAAGAAGCACCGGCUAACUACGUG